rnacentral:rRNA from 1 species
CCAGAGAACUUAGCAGAGAUGCUUUGGUGUCCUUCGGGAACUCUGAGACAGGUGCUGCAUGGCUGUCGUCAGCUCGUGUUGUGAAAUGUUGGGUUAAGUCCCGCAACGAGCGCAACCCUUAUCCUUUGUUGCCAGCGGCUCGGCCGGGAACUCAAAGGAGACUGCCGGUGAUAAACCGGAGGAAGGUGGGGAUGACGUCAAGUCAUCAUGGCCCUUACGGCCAGGGCUACACACGUGCUACAAUGGCGCAUACAAAGAGAAGCGACCUCGCGAGAGCAAGCGGACCUCAUAAAGUGCGUCGUAGUCCGGAUUGGAGUCUGCAACUCGACUCCAUGAAGUCGGAAUCGCUAGUAAUCGUAGAUCAGAAUGCUACGGUGAAUACGUUCCCGGGCCUUGUACACACCGCCCGUCACACCAUGGGAGUGGGUUGCAAAAGAAGUAGGUAGCUUAACCUUCGGGAGGGCGCUUACCACUUUGUGAUUCAUGACUGGGGUGAAGUCGUAACAAGGUAAGCGUAGCGAG